rnacentral:rRNA from 1 species
UACAGAGGUCUCAAGCGUUGUUCGGAUUCAUUGGGCGUAAAGGGUGCGUAGGCGGCGCGGUAAGUCGGGUGUGAAAUCUCGGAGCUUAACUCCGAAACUGCAUUCGAUACUGCCGUGCUUGAGGACUGGAGAGGAGACUGGAAUUUACGGUGUAGCGGUGAAAUGCGUAGAUAUCGUAAGGAAGACCAGUGGCGAAGGCGGGUCCCUGGACAGUUCCGGACGUUGAGGCACGAAGGUCGGGGAGCAAACGGG